rnacentral:misc_RNA from 1 species
GUGGAAGAGAAAGAAGAAAGAGCCCAGCAGCAAUUAUGGCAAGGAAAACUCCAAAAUCCAAGAGACGUCGCUCUUCUCCAGCUUCCUCCGCCUCUUCUAACGCCAUCAGAAAAAUCUCCGACGGUGAUAAAGAGAAGCGAUCGAAGUCAGCAAUGAAACCGAAGAGGAUACCGAAGAAGAAGAGUGUGAAACUUGAUGCUAAAAAGCCCAAGAAGCCCCCGACUGCUUUCUUCUUCUUCCUGGAGGAUUUUCGUAA